UCCACUUACAGGCAUUUGAUACCACCCUGCAUAUUGGAGUAAACUGAGAAACAAGAUUUGACAAAAUACCACCGUUACAUGGACAUCACUUAUCAUCCUUGCUAAGACUAUGCUCUCCCUCUGUCAAAAUAAAGGGGUUGAUCUCCAUUACUCUUGAUAAAUAUGUUGCUAACUACAUUGUUAGUCACUUUAUUCCACACUUUCCAACAUGGCAUAUAUAUUUUGAUAGAUUUAGCAUCAAUAAAUGGAACUUGAUGCUCUGUGUGUAUACCAGUGCCAUGUUCUGUGUCAUUCUUUUUUCUCACCAGUCUAGAAAAUUGAAUUUAUGAUGGCAUGUAGAACUAAAUAGUUGAGAGAAGUCAUGCCUCAACAGAAUGGAAUAUUCUCUUUGGAAAAACUCAAUUACUCUUUCUGGCCUAACCUUCUAUUUUUGGUGUUACCACCGUUACAUGGACAUCAUGUCUCAGUAACAGAGGUAUACUUUGAAGCAUUGUUAAGUUAAGGUCCAUUAAUGGCCAUCACACACCAAAUUCCACUUUGUGCCUUAGAAUAUUUGCACAAGAUCAAUUGAUUAUACUAAAGAAAAACAUUUUUCAUGUCAAAUUCUUUGCAAAUAAAAGCAAAUUAAAUUAGAGUUUAAACAAGGAAAAAUGUACAAAAUUAUUAACAAAUUAUAUUUAAAAUCAUACUACGGUAAUCCUCAAGUUUCCACUUCCGUCUAUCUCUGGAAACAUUUAUGUUUCUGUCUAAAGGGGAAAAGACGAAACAGUGCUAUCUUAUGAUCUCCAAAUCUUUUUACUUUAAAAUAUCUCCUUCAAGAUAUUACUUUCAAAUGUACAUACCACCGUUACAUGGACAUCAUGUCUCAGUAACAGAGGUAUACUUUGAAGCAUUGUUAAGUUAAGGUCCAUUAAUGGCCAAUACACACCAAAUUCCACUUUAUGCCUUAGAAUAUUUGCACAAGAUCAAUUGAUUAUACUAAAGAAAAACAUUUUUCAUGUCAAAUUCUUUGCAAAUAAAAGCAAUUUAAAUUAGAGUUUAAACAAGGAAAAAUGUACAAAAUUAUUGAUAAAUUAUAUUUAAAAUAAUACUACGGUAAUCCUCAAGGUUCCACUUCCGUCUAUCUCUUGAAACAUAUGUUUCUGUCUAAAGGGAAAAAAACAAGAGUGCUAGCUUAUGAUCUCCAAAUCAUUUAUUACUUUAAAAUAUCUCCUUCAAGAUAUCACUUUCAAACGUACAUACCACCGUUACAUGGACAUCAUGUCCUUGUAAUGGUCAUAUUGAAUAGUAUGACUUGACAUUCUACUUAUCAACACACUAAAUGCGAGUUAACUCAUCUUACUCAAGUGUAGAAAUACAACAUCUACAGGCAAGCUUCUGAAAUGCAUAUCAAUGAACAGGUUACAAGUUUAUGAACUUCAAGAAGAUCGGUGACCCAAUGGAUAGAGGUAGAAUUGUGCCUCGCCAUCAGGCCAGGAGUACAGGUCACCAGAUUGACACUUCAUGUACUGAAGAUAUACAUUUUAACCUUCAACAGAG
rnacentral:lncRNA from 1 species